ACAUAAUGUAGGUCCAUUGUGUUUUACAUCUGAAUUGCAAUUAUAGCUCUUAUAAUAAUGUCAAAAGAACUGAGUAGGUGAGCCUGAACCAAGGAAGAAUGAGAACAAGCAUAUGUAUAUGUAUUCUAGUUAUUAUACAUACAACAAUUAGAAAAACAUCUAACCUAACAAAACUGUGCCAUGGCUCAGCUACUCAAGCAGGUGAUUCGGCCAAAAGUAGGGUAUGCCACCAGCCACAUGCCACCUUUCGAGGGACACAACCCUCUACAGUAACUGGAGAAGGAAUGUUGCGGUCGAUCACAUCCCCCAACCCAAGCUGGCCAUACUUGUUCCACCCCCAGCAUAACACUUUCCCAUCCUCUGUGACUAUAGCAGUGUGACGAGCCCCACAAGAGAUUACUUUUGCAUGCAUAUCUUCCAAACUAGGAGCAUCCAAGAGCCUGGGGGUAGUCUCUGCCUGAUCACCACCAGUACCCAAUUGCCCAAA
rnacentral:misc_RNA from 1 species